UGAUACAGAGAAGGAAGAACAAAUGAAAAACUAUGGGUAAUGAAAAACAGUACUUCCAGAUGAAGAAAAUAGUAUCAGAAUUAACAUGUGCAAGGCAGACUCUGGCUCCAACAGCCACCAAGCGCUUAGCCCUUCUGGAGCUGGAGUGUGGUGGUGUGAUAUCCUCCCUUGUGCCUUGUCGGUGUGACAGUGUGUGUAGUCAGCCUAGCAAACAAGACAGCUGAAUUUCCCACCUGUGCUGCAGAGUCUCUGAAGAAGGACCUCACAGGUGAAGGUAAGCACUGGUGGUGCAGGCUGUGGCGUGGCCCUGUAGCUGUCCCAGCAGCAGUGCUCGCGAGCAGAUCAGCCCAGACCUCCUCAUUGCACAUACUGCUGGACACGUGAGGAGGAUCCUCUGCUAGCUUAACUAGGUUACUCUCUCAGUGCCUCGGAGCGUGCAUAAAUAAUUGACAGUGGACAGUCAGGGUUUUUGGCCUCAGGCAGUGUACAGUCUAAUAAGGUGAUACAGCUGAGAUCACAGAACCUGUAUCACAAAACACAGUUUCAGGUAUACUCUGUACCUUCCAUGCCAAGACAUGAUCAUUAUAUGAAAAUCCAUGGACGCAAUUAUCACAAAAAGUUUUCCUGAGCUGUAACUGCAUCCAGUAGUCCAUGUAGACAAAUAUUUAAUAAAAAAAUAUUUUUCCACAAAGAGGCACACCCCAUCAAAAGGUAAGGCAAACUGUACCUCACAGAACUGGGCAAUGGCUAUGUAAUCAUUGCUUGAAUCCAGACGGUCUUUAUCAGCUUUAAAAUGUGUCUGUGAUCUCUCUUUAUAAGCAUAUAGAUCUCAGCAGGUGUUUUGCCUGAAGGGUUGUACAGCAUCGGGCCU